rnacentral:rRNA from 1 species
GCCAGCAGCCGCGGUAAUACGGAGGGUCCGAGCGUUAUCCGGAAUUAUUGGGUUUAAAGGGUCCGCAGGCGGGCAAUUAAGUCAGGGGUGAAAUGGUGCGGCUCAACCGUAGCACUGCCCUUGAUACUGGUUGUCUUGAGUCAUAGUGAGGUGGCCGGAAUAUGUAGUGUAGCGGUGAAAUGCAUAGAUAUUACAUAGAACACCGAUUGCGAAGGCAGGUCACUAACUAUCGACUGACGCUGAUGGACGAAAGCGUGGGGAGCGAACGGGAUUAGAUACCCCGGUAGUCCACGCCGUAAACGAUGGAUACUAGCUGUCCGCUACCUUGAGUAGUGGGCGGCCCAGCGAAAGUGAUAAGUAUCCCACCUGGGGAGUACCUUCGCCAGAAUGAAACUUCAAGGAAUUGACGGGGGCC